CGGUCCAGACUCCUACGGGAGGCAGCAGUGGGGAAUAUUGCACAAUGGGCGCAAGCCUGAUGCAGCGACGCCGCGUGGGGGAUGAAGGCCUUCGGGUUGUAAACUCCUUUCGCUAUCGACGAAGCCUUCGGGUGACGGUAGGUAGAUAAGAAGCACCGGCUAACUACGUGCCAGCAGCCGCGGUAA
rnacentral:rRNA from 1 species